ensembl:lncRNA
ACACACACACACACACACACACACACACACACACACACACACACAUGGAGGCCUAGCACCACACGAGCUAGGAGAACAGUGAGAGGCUGCAUCUUGUCUGCGGGUGGGACACGAUGAGCCAACAGUCCAGCUACUGAAGCUGUGAGCUGAGCUCUUGGGCUUCGGGGGGGGGGGCUACAUUUUGGUUUUGGUUUGGUUUGCCUCCCAUCUGUAUCGUUCCCAUCAAAUCCCACGACGUCCACUAACAUUUUAAAUUUUCCUAUUUGCUCAUGUCAAGUGACUAAUUGGGACAUGAGUGCUUUGAGAAAGGAGAACCGUUGUUAAGAUUCUGCUCCGUGUCUAAAAGACAAAUCGUCACACCAGAAGCCCUCUAUAUAUACGUUACAUUCAGACUCAUCUGUCUUAUUCUUGGGAACCGGAAACUGUUUGCUCGCUAUUUUCCAAACAUCUGCAAAGAUCUAUUGUUCAAACGAGCACAUCAAAUGACUGUGCUUUUCAAUCAUAAUUAGUGUAUUAUGUUUUUAUUCAACAAAAUGUUUCUACGACUAUAUAGAAAAUUCAAAUGAAAAAAACAUCCAAUUGAUGAACAAGUAAAACAUACUUUUACUUAAAGUAGGAGAGAACUAUGUCCUGUCAAAGUUCUGCAUGCACAGUCAGAGGAAAGGAUCUCCUGUGGAGGGACAGGGAGUAAAAUAAGGAAACUACUUAGUUCAAUUCAGACAACAUGGUGAUGGUAACAGCUAUGUUUUUCACAUUAGUGUGGAUUAAUACAUUUAUUUAUCUAAGGGGGAGCAGCGGCUACUCAUUGUUGGCUGUAAACACUGUGUGACACUUUGUACUGCUAGUGUAGCAGUACAAAGUGUCUCCUGUGAGCUACACGGGAAGCACACUCACAUGCACUAACAUGCACAAGAAGGUAUGUCAGCAAAGCAAAGACGAGUUUGGAUGACAUCACACGCAGAGGGAGUACAUUAGCAGCAAAUUUGGAAAGCAACAAUGUCACCUUCAGCUUUCGGGACGCAGUUGGCAGACCAAUUCCUCAUGUGAAAAAACAUUGGAUCCGUAGCUCAGAACACAAUGUUGUGAUGCACAGAAUAAUCCUUUAUCAUGGGACAGAGCACUUCAAUAAAAUCAGCUCUGUAUAACGAGGAGCCAGCGCCUCGCUGAUGACAUUCUUAACAAGAAAAACGGGUGCAGGUUUAUACCUCCAGAUGGGGAUUAGCUCGGUCGGCAGCGGCGCGGCUCAUUAGGGGAUCAAUUACUCCUCUGCGGACCUGACAGUCAUCUGGCGUCUGCGGCAGGUUCAUCCUCCACUUGCCUCGGAAAUUGUGGAAGUGAUGAACCUCUGGGGCAUGAAAAAGCCCUUCAACAUCACAUUUUCAGAUCCACUGAGUUAAUAUGUUCACUAUAGUUAAGCUUUAUAGUGUUUCCACCGGCCUAGUGGACAGCUUAUGCAAAACCAGGACAAUGAGACAUUGAAAUAUUCCCAGUCUCAAAAUUCUUCUUCAAAUUCUAACCUCCCAAGUUCAACCCUCCAAGCACAUUCGUGAAAGCAGACUUUUACUUACUUCCUUCCUUUACGAAUCUAACCCGAAGGGGCUCGACACAUAAAGCAUGCCUUUCAAUUCACUUCCUACUCUCAGUAAAUUAACUAAAUCAACAAUUAUUUUCGUUUGCAGGACAAAACAGAGUGUGUAGUUUAUUAACGGUGGGGUUGCUGUUGUGAUGCUAGCCGCUAUGUUAUAGUAGUUGUUAGUGAAGCACAAAGCCCCAUGCUCCGUAAAAUGGUCACAAUCACAUAAAAAAAGCUACUCCACAGUACGAUUACUGGCCCUUCCUUGUGUGUUUUCACAACAUGAUCAAACACGCGCGGAAACUGUACGUGACACACACUUGUCCACUCACAUGUUUAAAGUGCUAAUGAAAGACGCAAAGUCAUUGAUUGGCCAUACAGGCAUGACGAAUGGGCUUUUAUGCAAAAAAAGAUGUCCGACCUUUAUUCCUCUUUUGCGUGAAAUAUUAUCAUCACUUGUCAGAUUCUUUUUUGCGCACAAUGCUUUAUAGGCAGCGAGUGUCCUGCGGGGAAGGCAGCGUCCGGCGGCUCCAGAUUGCACCAGAUUCAAAGUUUGGGGUUAAAAAGGGCUGAGGCGGUAAAAGUUAGCAGGAGGUCUGAUCACCUCUACGAGAGCUGUGCUGUGAGGCCCGAGAGAAUCGCUGCUGCCCACGUUACAGUCUUUAAAUAAAACGCUGCCCUGAUUAUACAGCUCUCUUCCAGGCCCAGAGCUCGGCUUCAGACCCAUGCGGCAGAAGGCAGCUUGCCCACAUGGCCUAGAUGCAAUGCCCAGAUCAGCACAGUAAAAGCGCAGCACAGCGCGACACGAGGCGGUAUGGGGACUAUAGGACGUCCAAAACUUGUCCUGUCAAAGACACCAUAUACGCUGCUAAAGUGCAGUGAAAUGAUUGCACCGAUUUUAAAUGUCACUACCAUUAUAAUCAAAUUGUAGUUUAAACGGUGAAAGAGGUGAGUAACCCACAUUAUUGUUUUUAGGUCUGUCCAAUCAGAAGGGUCCGUCCUCUGCCAUCUGCUAUAAGGCCCUACCCUUUCCAUAAGAAGUUAAUGUCGUUGUGUUUUCCCGUUUGCCGUUGUGCUUUGCACUUCAGGGCCAGCGUAUUAUGCAGAUCAAAUGUAAUGCAGGUCUAAAACAGCAAUAGGACGCAUUCACCGUGAUCCUCCAACAUCCAUUGUCACCUCUCAGAGAGAAGUGUAAUUUCUGAUAGAAUCUGAAUUAUCUGUAGAGGUUUGACCAUAUGACUUGAAACAUUCAGGCUUCUGACUCAAAAUCUAAUAUUGUUGUCUGCCAAACUGGUUGGUCUUAAGUUCAAAAUUAAGUUAUUUUGUAUUGAGACUGUUACAUUGGAAUACAUGCAUAUCUAUAUGGAUAUAUAUCUAUAUAGAUAUAAAGAUAUAGAUGAUCGGAUGUUUGGGGUUUUGUAUAAAUGUGUUGUCAAUAUUCAUUCGAAUAAAUACAACUGCAUCUCACAACAAAUGUGGCUGAAGGUUUUGAAAGCUCUACUUCAGUGGCAAACGGAGUGUGCUCUGUUGAACUUGCCAAGUUCAAACUCCCAAGGAUAAAAGUCAAAAGCUGGAGUUGCAAUGGAGUGCAUUAUAGUAACGUUCAAUUCGGUGUUUGGAGGGGAAACAACCGUUACCAUCUAAGAGAAGGCCAGAAGUCUGGUAUUUCUGAAACUAUGACACCAACACUCUUCUAUCACACCAAAGGGCCCUGGGGCAAGGCUGAAGGAUGAAGCAUGAACUGUAUUUGCCUAACAAAUGAUGGCAAGCCGGAAUGGACACUGCAUGCAAAUUAAGCUUGAUAUCCGAUGGAUGGGAUGGGAGGUGUUCUGUGUGGCUGAGGGCAUUAUGGUUGUUACCCAAGAAGUUUUUAAAAAGGCAGCUAUUAUCAUUGAGAAUACAUAAAUAUCUUAAUGAAACUAAAGCCAAUGUAUUAUCAGGGGCUAUUAAGGAUUUAUUCUUUAAGCCCAAUUCUGAAAUGUGUGUUCCGUAGUUGUGCUUCCAUUUAUCUUCAACUUAGCACUUGAAAUCAUGAAAAGAGGAGUUUAAUUACACGAUUGGUAUGGUACAGUAUAUUGAGUAUACAGUAUACUCAGCCAUUGAUGUGAAGUUAUCUUAUCCUUGGCAUGAGGCCAUCUAUGUAAUCAGUCAUAAAUUCUCCAUAUUCGGUCUUGCUGAAAACAGACGUGGAGCCCAUUGCAUGUGAUAAUGAAGAAUGAUGAAGUCAAGCGAGAAUAGAUCAAGACAUGUUAAGAGAAAGUCCUCAAAAAAAAAGGAUGCGUUACCAUCUGCACAACUUAUCCCUGGACUCCAUUAUCCAUGUGUGAUGGAAACAUUUUUUCUGGUUUAUGUGCGGCCUCUCAUGCAGGUGGCUCAGACAACCGCCUCUUAAAUGCAGCGACGAACCAGCUGCCUCUGACAGAGAGCCACAAAGCUGUUCGCUGCAGUCCCCCCCCCCACUGCACACUCAGCUGCAAAACAAAAGGUGAGAAUUUGGAAAAAGGAAAUCCCGAAGAAACCAUCAUCCAACGUUAGCUUUCCUCCCCCGUUUUUUAAUGAUUUGAUUUCCAGAGUCAUUCCAGCUGACACAUGAAAUUUCCAACAAUUUUAAGCUAUUAAAGGAACUAUAAUUUAAGAACUUUUCCUUAGGUCAUCUGUCAACAAUCUACUUUCCAGAAAAACCUAGAUUGUGUUAUUUUUGGCCGAACACACACACACACACACACACAC